rnacentral:rRNA from 1 species
AUUGAACGCUGGCGGCAGGCCUAACACAUGCAAGUCGAGCGGAUGAAGGGAGCUUGCUUCUGGAUUCAGCGGCGGACGGGUGAGUAAUGCCUAGGAAUCUGCCUGGUAGUGGGGGAUAACGUCCGGAAACGGGCGCUAAUACCGCAUACGUCCUGAGCGAGAAAGUGGGGAUCUUCGGUCCUCACGCUAUCAGAUGAGCCUAGGUCGGAUUAGCUCGUUGGUGGGGUAAAGGCCUACCAAGGCGACGAUCCGUAACUGGUCUGAGAGGAUGAUCAGUCACACUGGAACUGAGACACGGUCAAGACUCCUACGGGAGGCAGCAGUGGGGAAUAUUGGACAAUGGGCGAAAGCCUGAUCCAGCCAUGCCGCGUGUGUGAAGAAGGUCUUCGGAUUGUAAAGCACUUUAAGUUGGGAGGAAGGGCAGUAAGGUAAUAACUUGCUGUUUUGACGGUACCAACAGAAUAAGCAACGGCUAACUUCGUG